CAUCCCACAGUUCUGAUCCCCAGAAUCCCUCUUUUCCAGUGCUCACUGUGCCACCUUUCUUAUCCUCACCAUCCCUCCUUUCUGCUCCUCAGAAUCCCACUUUUUUCAGCGUCCUCAGCAUCCCACCUUGUUGAUCCUCAGAAUCCCACUUUUCUGGUCCUCAGAAUCCCACUUUUCUGGUCCUCAGCAUCCCACUUUUCCAUUCAGCAGCACCAUCCCCGCCUCACCAGCCGGCACCAUCCCACCUUUCCAGCCAGCACCAUCCCAUCCCACAGUGCCAGCUGGAACCAUCCCUCCUUCCCAGAUGGCAGCACCAUCCCACCUCUCCAGCUGGGAGCAUCCUGCCUUUCCAGCCAAUAUCCCAUCCCACCUCUCCAGCUGGGAGCAUCCUGCCUUUCCAGCCAAUAUCCCAUCCCGCCUCUCCAGCUGGGAGCAUCCUGCCUUUCCAGCCAAUAUCCAAUCCUGCCUCUCCAGCUGGGAGCAUCCCGCAUUUCCAGGCAGCAUCAUCCCACCUCUCCAGCUGGUCCCAUCCCUCCUUGCUGGUCUGUGACUUCCCGCCUCCCUGGCCGGAAGCACCAUCCCAACUUCUCCAUCUGGAAACAUCCCACAUUUCCAGUUGGCAGCGUUAUCCCACCUCACUGCGUGGAAGCAUCCCACCUUUCUGGUUGGAAAUGUUAUCCCACCUCACUGGAUGGCAGCAUCCUCCCUCUCCAGCAGGAAGCAUCCCACAUUUCCAGUUGGCAUCAUCCCACCUCACCACCUGGGGACAUCCGGCCUUUCCGGUCGGAAGCGUUAUCCCACCUCUCCAGCUGGCAUCGUGCCUGGAAGCAUCCCGACUUUCCAGUCAGAAGCAUCAUCCCACUUCUCCAGCUGGAGACAUCCCAUAUUUCCAAUUGGAAGUGCUAUCCCACCUCUCCAGCAGGAAACAUCCCACCUUUCAGUCAGGACCAUCAUCCCACCUCUGUGGCUGAAAACAUCCGGCCUUUCCGGUUGGAAGCAUUAUCCCACCUUUCCAGCUGGCAUCAUCCCACCUCACUGCCUGGAGACAUCCCGCCCUUCCAGUCAGAAGCAUCAUCCCAACUUCUCCAGCUGGAGACAUCCCACAUUUCCAGUCAAGACCAUUAUCCCACCCCAAUGCCUGGAAGCAUCCCACCUUUCCAGUCAGAAGCAAUAUCCCACCUCACUGGCUGGAAGUAUUAUCCCACUUCUCCAGCUGGAAGCAUCCCACAUUUCCAGUCAGGACCAUCAUCCCACCUCAAUAGUUGGAAGCAUCCCACAUUUCCAUUUGGAAGUGUUAUCCCACCUCACUGGACGGUGGCAUCCCACCUUUCCAGUCGGCAUCAUCCCACCUCACUGCCUGGGAAUAUUCAGCCUUUCUGGUUGGAGCCAUUAUCCCACCUCUCCAGCUGGAAAGAUCCCACAUUUCCAGUCAUCACUAUCCCAUUUCUCCCACUGGAAGCAUCCUGCAUUUCCAGUCGGGACCAUUAUCCCAUCCCACUAUCCAGAAGCCUCAUCCUGCUUUUCCAGCAACAUUCCACCUUUCCAGCUGGCACAGCCAUCCCUCCGUGGUGGAGAAGAGCAUCCCAGCACCAUCCCACUUUCCACCUGGCAACAUUCCCUCUUCCAGGAGAUCCAUCCCACCUUCUGGCCAGCAGCAUUCCCUCAUUCCCUUUACCAGGAGAUCCAUCCCUCCUCUCCAGCAGCCUCAUCCCACCUCACCCAUCCCAUGUGGACACGAGUGGUUUCCUCAUGGAGCAUCCCGGUUAUAAAUCCCACUUGGGGGAAUUUUCCCUUCUGGGUGGAUUCCAGCUCUGCUUUUCCCUUCUCCCAGCCCCUGGCUGCCUUCCCGCUCCAAAGAUCCUCCUGGAAGUGAACAUUCCCUCCUUUCCAUGGAUACAACGCUUCCAUGGAGCCUCCACCAUCUGUUCCAGGCUCCGAUUAUCCACGCACGGAUUGGGAAUCUCCCAUUAGCCGCACUUCGGAGCGGCUCCGAUCCCGCUCCAGCCCUUUUGGAAGGAUUCCUUUGGAUUUUCACAUGGAUUUUGGGGCCUGGCAGGCUCAGUUUGGAAUUCCCAAGGAUGGGAGACAGGGAACAACCAGCCCUGGAAAGGCAAAUGCUCCCUGGCACAUCCUGGAGUUGGAAAUACAGGGACAAAGGGAUUUGGGAAUUCCUAAUGAGGGUGGGAUUUUAAUCAAGGGGAAGGGGAAAAAAAAUGGGAUUGGAGGGGUUGGAUCUCUCCCAGCUUUGCUCUUUAUGGCACAGAGCCAGGAUGGAAAGAGGCGGCGCUGGAGCCCCUGGGCUGCGCUGAUAAGGCCGGGAAAACGCUGAUAAGGAGCGGGAAAAGGCUGAUAAGGAAUGGGGAAAACGCAGAUGUGGCUGGUUUCUCCUGGGAUAACGUUCUCUUGGAUGGUUCCUCCUGGGAUAACCCUGAUCAUGAGCGGGAAAACGCUGAUAAAGCUGACUCCACCCGGGAAAAUACUGAUAAGGAGGGUUCCAUGUGGGAAAACGCUGAUAAGAAACCGGGAAAAUGCAGAAGUGGCCGGAUUGUCCCGGGAUAAUUCUGCCCGGAAAAACGCUGAUAAGGACGGGGAUAAUGCUGAUAAGGAGCAGGGUAACACUGAUAAGGACGGCUCCUCCUGGGAUAAAGCUCCUUGGGAUGGCUCCAGCUGAACCACGGCAAAGAUUCCUCAAAAAAGGGAGAGAAGAAAUAGAUGGAUGGAAAAAGAAAGGGAGAAUGAACAGGAGGAAAAGCCUGGAUUGGGAAAUGCUUCCUCCAUCCCUAAACUUUUCCUGGCUUUGCCCCAAUUCUUUGGGAGAGCCCAAAAUCCAUCAGGACCUUCCCAAAAAAUCCAAUGACUGGGAAAAGCAGCCCUGGGAAUGAUCUCCUCAGGCUGGCUCCUGUUUUCCUUGGGAAAAAAAGACCAUGCGAUGAAAACCCUUUUCCUACUGACAUCUCCCAUCUCCACACUCAAUUUCCCGGACAUUCCCGAGGCUUUCAAGUGCCUGGGAAUUUUCUGCUCCCAAAUUCCAUUUGUUCUACAACAUGUGGAGAGAGGGAGGAAAACAGAGAGCUGGAGCCAGGAAAAGUGGGAGCAUUUCCUUGUCAGGUCCGGGAAAUAUUCCAUGAGCAGGGAAGGGGUGAUUCCUUGUUCCUGCUCCAGGAUUAUCCCAGUUCCUCAUGCCAUGAGCAGGGAAUGUUUGAUCCUUGUUUCCGGUUCAGGGAUUCUCCUGAUCCCUUUUUCCAUGGAAUGUUUCAAUCCUUGUUCCUGCUCCAGGAUUCUCCCAGUUUCAUUUCCAGAGGAAACGAGACUGGAAGGGGACGGGGAGGAAGGGAAAUUUGUUCCCAGUUUUUUCCCUCGGAUGAAGCCUCUCCUGACCUUUUUUGCCAAGCUCCAGAGUUGGUUUUAGAGCAGCAGGAAUGGAGCAGGUAUGGAAUCAGGAAUAAACCUGGAAUUCUGGAAGUGAUUCCCA
ensembl:lncRNA